GCUUACGCUGAAGGCCUGUUUCCUAGGCAACAAACGGAGGACUUGUUCCUCGCUCUCGCCUAGGGGAAAGUCCCCGGACCACAGGCAGAAAGUGCCACGUGCGCAUGCACGCAGACUGUCCCUGCUUCUCACCUUAAGUCCGCCAAGAAGCCCGCCGGGCCGAGCGGCGUGUUGUAGGGAUGUCAUCCGUCAGCAGUUCUAGUCACGCAGGCAGUGCAUUCCGUGCACCAACCAAACGGGGCUCAUUCUCAGCGCAGC
rnacentral:RNase_MRP_RNA from 12 species